rnacentral:rRNA from 1 species
GACGAACGCUGGCGGCGUGCUUAACACAUGCAAGUCGAACGGAAAGGCCUGCAGCUUGCUGCGGGUACUCGAGUGGCGAACGGGUGAGUAACACGUGGGUGAUCUGCCUUGCACUUCGGGAUAAGCUUGGGAAACUGGGUCUAAUACCGGAUAGGACAGCUGUUUAGUGUCAGUUGUGGAAAGUUUUUUCGGUGCAAGAUGAUCUCGCGGCAUACCAGCUUGUUGGUGGGGUACUGGCCUACCAAGCCGUCGACGGGUAGCCGGCCUGAGAGGGUGUACGGCCACAUUGGGACUGAGAUACGGCCCAGACGCCUACGGGAGGCAGCAGUGGGGAAUAUUGCACAAUGGGCGGAAGCCUGAUGCAGCGACGUCGCGUGGGGGAUGAAGGCCUUCGGGGUGUAAACUACUUUCGACAGGAACGAAGCUUUUGUGACGGUACCUGUAUAAGAAGCACCGGCUAACUACGUG